CAGCCGCCGCGGUAACACCGAGGAUGCAAGCGUUAUCUGGAAUGAUUGGGCGUAAAGCGUCUGUAGGUGGCUUUUCAAGUCCGCCGUCAAAUCCCAGUGCUCAACCCUGGACAGGCGGUGGAAACUACCAAGCUGGAGUGCGGUAGGGGCAGAGGGAAUUUCCGGUGGAGCGGCGAAAUGCGUUGAGAUCGGAAAGAACACCAACGGCGAAAGCACUCUGCUGGGCCGACACUGACACUGAGAGACGAAAGCUAGGGGAGCAAAUGGGAUUAGAUACCCCAGUAGUCCCUGUCUCUUAUAC
rnacentral:rRNA from 1 species